rnacentral:rRNA from 1 species
UUGAACGCUGGCGGAAUGCUUUACACAUGCAAGUCGAGCGGCAGCGCGGGGGCAACCCUGGCGGCGAGCGGCGAACGGGUGAGUAACAUAUCGGAACGUACCCUAUCGUGGGGGAUAACACAUCGAAAGAUGUGCUAAUACCGCAUACGACCUGAGGGUGAAAGCAGGGGAUCGCAAGACCUUGCGCGACAGGAGCGGCCGAUAUCGGAUUAGCUAGUUGGUGAGGUAAAGGCUCACCAAGGCGACGAUCCGUAGCUGGUCUGAGAGGACGACCAGCCACACUGGAACUGAGACACGGUCCAGACUCCUACGGGAGGCAGCAGUGGGGAAUUUUGGACAAUGGGGGCAACCCUGAUCCAGCCAUUCCGCGUGAGUGAAGAAGGCCUUCGGGUUGUAAAACCCUUUCGACGGGGAGGAAGGCACCGGCGCGAAUAGCGUUGGUGAUUGACGUAACCUGGAGAAGAAGCACCGGUUAACUCCGU